rnacentral:rRNA from 1 species
GGAAUGGGCAACGGUAGGUCAGUAUGCCCCGAACUAUCCCGGGCUACACGCGAGCUACAAUGGUUGGUACAAUGGGUAUCUACCCCGAAAGGGGACGGAAAUCUCCUAAAACCAAUCUUAGUUCGGAUUGAGGGCUGCAACUCGCCCUCAUGAAGCUGGAAUCCGUAGUAAUCGCGUUUCAACAGAACGCGGUGAAUACGUCCCUGCUCCUU